GACGAACGCUAGCUGCGGGCUUAACACAUGCAAGUCGAACGGAAAGGCCCUGCUUUUGUGGGGUGCUCGAGUGGCGAACGGGUGAGUAACACGUGAGUAACCUGCCCUUGACUUUGUGAUAACUUCAGGAAACUGGGGCUAAUACCGGAUAGGAGCUCCUGCUGCAUGGUGGGGGUUGGAAAGUUUCGGCGGUUGGGGAUGGACUCGCGGCUUAUCAGCCUGAUGGUGGGGUAGUGGCUUACCAAGGCUUUGACGGGUAGCCGGCCUGAGAGGGUGACCGGCCACAUUGGGACUGAGAUACGGCCCAGAGUCCUACGGGAGGCAGCAGUGGGGAAUAUUGCACGAUGGGCGGAAGCCUGAUGCAGCAACGCCGCGUGCGGGAUGACGGCCUUCGGGUUGUAGACCGCUUUCGCCUGUGACGAAGCGUGAGUGACGGUAAUGGGUAAAGAAGCACCGGCUAACUACGUG
rnacentral:rRNA from 1 species